rnacentral:rRNA from 1 species
GAUGAACGCUGGCGGCGUGCCUAAUACAUGCAAGUCGAGCGAACGGACGAGAAGCUUGCUUCUCUGAUGUUAGCGGCGGACGGGUGAGUAACACGUGGAUAACCUACCUAUAAGACUGGGAUAACUUCGGGAAACCGUAGCUUAUACCGGAUAAUAUUUUGAACCGCAUGGUUCAAAAGUGAAAGACGGUCUUGCUGUCACUUAUCGAUGGAUCCGCGCUGCAUUAGCUAGUUGGUAAGGUAACGGCUUACCAAGGCAACGAUGCAUAGCCGACCUGAGAGGGUGAUCGGCCACACUGGAACUGAGACACGGUCCAGACUCCUACGGGAGGCAGCAGUAGGGAAUCUUCCGCAAUGGGCGAAAGCCUGACGGAGCAACGCCGCGUGAGUGAUGAAGGUCUUCGGAUCGUAAAACUCUGUUAUUAGGGAAGAACAUAUGUGUAAGUAACUGUGCACAUCUUGACGGUACCUAAUCAGAAAGCCGCGGCUAACUACGUG